AUUGGUCCCCUCUAAAACAUUGUAGCGGUGAAGGCCGACCUUUGCAUAAAGCUGCACUACAAGGAGACAAUCUUUCCCUCCAGAGAACUCAUGCAUUCCCCAAUCACGAUGAUCCCUCAGUUCACCCAUAUCGAACCCCUACGAGGAUUCAAUUUCUACUCGUCGGAAAAGCCCCAAGUGUACCACUGCACAAAAUAUGGUGUUACUGAGCGGGUGUAUUGAAUAUGGAACAUACAACCUUAUUGGUCGAAACAAAAAAAUGACGUAUAUUACGAUAAAAUUGCAGAUUAUUGUAAUGAGCUAAAUUUGCAGAUUAUUGUAAUGAGCAUUGUUCAUUUGAUCCUUCGCGUGAUUUAAUAUCUUGCAAAAAUCAUUUCAACUACAUAAACAAAAUAUUGGAAAAAUGGAUCGAUGCUUAUGAUAAAGCUGAGCGGGGGGCAACAUGUUAAACCAUUUUGAUAGUCAAAUUUGUCACAUGAAUAAAAACAAUCGAACUCCAAACUUGUACACUUGCACAUGCUCUUAUGAAAUGAAACGCUAAAUCUUCUUAUCCAUAGAGUCGCAUUACAUAAGUAACUUCAUAACAGAUGUUUCCUCUUCAAGAGGUUCCUAAAUACAUAGUUCAGUACAUUCUCACUAGACACCAAAGGGUUUCCACUUCCUAAAAAUUCAACUCACUCGCCUCCAACAUUUUCCAUUGCACUGCUGCACUUAACGACCUCUGCCACGACCAGCACCACCACGCCCACGA